rnacentral:rRNA from 1 species
UGCAGGCUGCAACUCGCCUGCAUGAAGUUGGAAUUGCUAGUAAUCGCGGAUCAGCAUGCCGCGGUGAAUACGUUCCCGGGCCUUGUACACACCGCCCGUCACACCAUGGGAGCCGGUAAUACCCGAAGUCAGUAGCCUAACCGCAAGGGGGGCGCUGCCGAAGGUGGGGUUGAUGAUUAGGGUUAAGUCGUAACAAGGUAAC